UCACUCCCAAACCCAAUGUGAACGUUACCAAACUGUUGCCUCGGCGGGAUCUCUGCCCCGGGUGCGUCGCAGCCCCGGACCAAGGCGCCCGCCGGAGGACCAACCAAAACUCUUAUUGUAUACCCCCUCGCGGGUUUUUUUUAUAAUCUGAGCCUUCUCGGCGCCUCUCGUAGGCGUUUCGAAAAUGAAUCAAAACUUUCAACAACGGAUCUCUUGGUUCUGGCAUCGAUGAAGAACGCAGCGAAAUGCGAUAAGUAAUGUGAAUUGCAGAAUUCAGUGAAUCAUCGAAUCUUUGAACGCACAUUGCGCCCGCCAGUAUUCUGGCGGGCAUGCCUGUCCGAGCGUCAUUUCAACCCUCGAACCCCUCCGGGGGGUCGGCGUUGGGGAUCGGCCCUGCCUUGGCGGUGGCCGUCUCCGAAAUACAGUGGCGGUCUCGCCGCAGCCUCUCCUGCGCAGUAGUUUGCACACUCGCAUCGGGAGCGCGGCGCGUCCACAGCCGUUAAACACCCAACUUCUGAAAUGUUGACCUCGGAUCAGGUAGGAAUACCCGCUGAACUUAAGCAUAUCAAUAAGCGGAGGAA
rnacentral:rRNA from 1 species